rnacentral:tRNA from 1 species
GGUCGGUUAGUUCAGUUGGUCAGAACGUCGUGCUAAUAACACGAAGGUCGUGGGUUCAAGCCCCAUACUGACCA